GACGAACGCUGGCGGCGUGCUUAACACAUGCAAGUCGAACGGAAAGGCCCUGCUUUUGUGGGGUGCUCGAGUGGCGAACGGGUGAGUAACACGUGAGUAACCUGCCCUUGACUUUGGGAUAACUUCAGGAAACUGGGGCUAAUACCGGAUAGGAGCUCCUGCUGCAUGGUGGGGGUUGGAAAGUUUCGGCGGUUGUGGAUGGACUCGCGGCUUAUCAGCUUGUUGGUGGGGUAGUGGCUUACCAAGCGUUUGACGGGUAGCCGGCCUGAGAGGGUGACCGGCCACAUUGGGACUGAGAUACGGCCCAGAGUCCUACGGGAGGCAGCAGUGGGGAAUAUUGCACAAUGGGCGGAAGCCUGAUGAAGCAACGCCGCGUGCGGGAUGACGGCCUUCGGGUUGUAAACCGCUUUCGCCUGUGACGAAGCGUGAGUGACGGUAAUGGGUAAAGAAGCACCGGCUAACUACGUG
rnacentral:rRNA from 1 species